rnacentral:rRNA from 1 species
UACGGAGGGUGCAAGCGUUAUCCGGAUUCACUGGGUUUAAAGGGUGCGUAGGUGGGUUGGUAAGUCAGUGGUGAAAUCCCCGAGCUUAACUUGGGAACUGCCAUUGAUACUAUUAAUCUUGAAUACCGUGGAGGUUAGCGGAAUAUGUCAUGUAGCGGUGAAAUGCUUAGAUAUGACAUAGAACACCAAUUGCGAAGGCAGCUGGCUACACGAAUAUUGACACUGAUGCACAAAAGCGUGGGGAUCAAACAGG